rnacentral:ncRNA from 2 species
GAUAUACAUUAAGAGUGAGAUUAAGUUCUCCUCCAACCUGCCAACUCCGGCAAGGUGGAAAAAAUGAUGAGGUUAAUCAACAACUAAAGGAGUAAAA